CGUAUUCCAUGCUUGUAUAAUUAUAUCAAAAUGGAUUCUCCUAUCAUGUAUAACUGAAAAGAAAAAAAAAAGAACAAUGAGAAAAGGCAUAAACACUGUUGAAAAUACAGAUAGAACAAAAAUUUUUUUAAGGUAAAAGCAACUAUCAUGUAAAUAAAUUUGAAAAAACAGUGGAGAUAUUCCUUGAGGGAAUAUAACAUAGAAUACUAAUCCAGAAGAAAUUUUAAGACUAAGUAAGCUUGUAAUUUCUAAAUGAAUGUAGUUUAGGACUGGAGGUAGAACACUUGUCUAACAUGUACAAAGUCCUAGUUUUGAUCACCAGCACGCCCCCGACCCCAAAAGAAGUUUAAUGUUCUUUAAAGGAAACACUGGGUCAUAAUGUUAUACAAGUAAAUUCUUCUAAAUUUUCAAGGACGAGUUUAACCUCAUAGCAAGUUUCUGAAAUAAUAGGCAAAAAUAUUUCUCAACUUGUACUGGGAAAUCAGCAUAAUCUAGACAUAAAAUAAAUAAGGACAGUACAUUACAUGUAAAUAUACUAGAUAAAAUACUAUCAGAUCAGAUUCAUUAUGAAAAAGAUACUUUUUGACUAGCAAAGUGGGUUUAUUCCAGGAUUGCAAGAUUGGCUUUGUAUUAGGAGCUCUCAUGUAAUUCAACAUGUUAAUAAGUUGGAAAAAAAUGUAAUAGAUUAAGAUAAAACUGAUCUCAUUCCUGAUUUUUUAAAAUCAAGUUUUCUUAACCUGAUAAGUUGUGUCCAUAUUAAAACAAAAACAAAGCACAAACAAUAAAACCAUGACAUCCUGUAAGAGAAAAUAUUGAAAGCCUUCCCUUUGAAACUGGGAAUAGGAC
rnacentral:lncRNA from 1 species